rnacentral:rRNA from 1 species
AUACGUAGGGAGCGAGCGUUGUCCGGAAUUACUGGGUGUAAAGGGUGCGUAGGCGGGGAAGCAAGUCAGCAGUGAAAUCUAUGGGCUUAACUCAUAACGUGCUGUUGAAACUGUUUUUCUUGAGUGAGUCAGAGGCAGGGGGGAAUUCCCGGGGAGCGGUGAAAUGUAUAGAGAUCGGGAGGAACACCAGUGGCGAAGGCGGCCUGCUGGGGCUUAACUGACGCUGAGGCACGAGAGCGUGGGGAGCAAACAGGAUUAGAUCCCCUGGUAGUCCACGCCGUAAACGAUGAUUACUAGGUGUGUGGGGAGUGACCCCCUACGUGCCGGAGUUAACACAAUAAGUAAUCCACCUGGGGAGUACGGCCGCAAGGUUGAAACUCAAAUGAAUUGACGGGG